UUUGGGGGAUUCGAUUGAUCCUGGCCUCCAAGAAAAGCCAGCGUUGGGAAGCCGCGAGCGCCCGUACCGCAAACCGACACGGGUGGCCGGGUGCGAGAGCACCAAGGUGGACGGGUGAGUCCUCGUUAAGGAACUAGGCAAGUUGACCCCGUAACUUCGGGAGAAGGGGUACCGCGGUAGCGUGAAGCACCAAGCGUGUGGAGCGUGAGGCGGGCGCAGAGAACAGGC
rnacentral:rRNA from 14 species